rnacentral:rRNA from 1 species
UACGAAGGUGGCUAGCGUUGCUCGGAAUCACUGGGCGUAAAGGGUGCGUAGGCGGGCCUUUAAGUCAGGGGUGAAAUCCUGGAGCUCAACUCCAGAACUGCCUUUGAUACUGAAGAUCUUGAGUUCGGGAGAGGUGAGUGGAACUGCGAGUGUAGAGGUGAAAUUCGUAGAUAUUCGCAAGAACACCAGUGGCGAAGGCGGCUCACUGGCCCGAUACUGACGCUGAUGCACGAAAGCGUGGGGAGCAAACAGG